rnacentral:rRNA from 1 species
AGACGUUUGUAGCCUAGGCUCAGGAUGACGCUGCGGCGUGCACACAUGCAAGUCGAACGGGCACGGCGUGCGGCAGGGGCCCUGGCCCCUGCGGCGCCGCGCGACGUGGCGACGGGUGAGUAACGCUGGGCAACCUGCCCUGUACUGGGGAUAACACCUGGAACAGGUGCUAAUACCGCAUAAGCGCGCUGUGCCGCAUGGCGCGGCGCGGAAAACCCCGGUGGUACAGGAUGGGCCCGCGUCUGAUUAGCUGGUUGGCAGGUAACGGCCUACCAAGGCGACGAUCAGUAGCCGGCCUGAGAGGGUGGACGGCCACACUGGGACUGAGACACGGCCCAGACUCCUACGGGAGGCAGCAGUGGGGAAUAUUGCACAAUGGGGGGAACCCUGAUGCAGCGACGCCGCGUGGGUGAAGGAGCGUUUCGGCGCGUAAAGCCCUAUCGGCAGGGAAGAAGAUGACGGUACCUGACCAAGAAGCCCCGGCUAACUACGUG